rnacentral:rRNA from 1 species
GGGUUGUGAGGUUAAGCGACUAAGCGUACACGGUGGAUGCCCUGGCAGUCAGAGGCGAUGAAGGGCGUGCUAAUCUGCGAUAAGCGCCGGUAAGGUGAUAUGAACCGUUAUAACCGGCGAUACCCGAAUGGGGAAACCCAGUGUGAUUCGUCACACUAUCAUUAACUGAAUCCAUAGGUUAAUGAGGCGAACCGGGGGAACUGAAACAUCUAAGUACCCCGAGGAAAAGAAAUCAACCGAGAUUCCCCCAGUAGCGGCGAGCGAACGGGGAGGAGCCCAGAGCCUGAAUCAGCAUGUGUGUUAGUGGAAGCGUCUGGAAAGGCGCGCGAUACAGGGUGACAGCCCCGUACACAAAAGCGCAUGUGCUGUGAGCUCGAUGAGUAGGGCGGGACACGUGGUAUCCUGUCUGAAUAUGGGGGGACCAUCCUCCAAGGCUAAAUACUCCUGACUGACCGAUAGUGAACCAGUACCGUGAGGGAAAGGCGAAAAGAACCCCGGCGAGGGGAGUGAAAAAGAACCUGAAACCGUGUACGUACAAGCAGUGGGAGCCCCACCACUAAGCCAGUGGUGAACUCCACAUACGCAUCCUUUGCUGAGGAUACGGUUAACGGAGCGAAAGCGACGUUCAACCGCAAAAGAAGCAGAGGGGGCUUAGUGGUGGGGUGACUGCGUACCUUUUGUAUAAUGGGUCAGCGACUUAUAUUCUGUAGCAAGGUUAACCGAAUAGGGGAGCCGCAGGGAAACCGAGUCUUAAUUGGGCGUUAAGUUGCAGGGUAUAGACCCGAAACCCGGUGAUCUAGCCAUGGGCAGGUUGAAGGUUGGGUAACACUAACUGGAGGACCGAACCGACUAAUGUUGAAAAAUUAGCGGAUGACCUGUGGCUGGGGGUGAAAGGCCAAUCAAACCGGGAGAUAGCUGGUUCUCCCCGAAAGCUAUUUAGGUAGCGCCUCGUGAAUUCAUCUCCGGGGGUAGAGCACUGUUUCGGCUAGGGGGCCAUCCCGGCUUACCAACCCGAUGCAAACUGCGAAUACCGGAGAAUGUUAUCACGGGAGACACACGGCGGGUGCUAACGUCCGUCGUGAAGAGGGAAACAACCCAGACCGCCAGCUAAGGUCCCAAAGUCAUGGUUAAGUGGGAAACGAUGUGGGAAGGCCCAGACAGCCAGGAUGUUGGCUUAGAAGCAGCCAUCAUUUAAAGAAAGCGUAAUAGCUCACUGGUCGAGUCGGCCUGCGCGGAAGAUGUAACGGGGCUAAACCAUGCACCGAAGCUGCGGCAGCGACGCUGAUGCGUUGUUGGGUAGGGGAGCGUUCUGUAAGCCUGUGAAGGUGGCCUGUGAGGGUUGCUGGAGGUAUCAGAAGUGCGAAUGCUGACAUAAGUAACGAUAAAGCGGGUGAAAAGCCCGCUCGCCGGAAGACCAAGGGUUCCUGUCCAACGUUAAUCGGGGCAGGGUGAGUCGACCCCUAAGGCGAGGCCGAAAGGCGUAGUCGAUGGGAAACGGGUUAAUAUUCCCGUACUUGGUGUUACUGCGAAGGGGGGACGGAGAAGGCUAUGUUGGCCGGGCGACGGUUGUCCCGGUUUAAGCGUGUAGGUGUGUGUUCCAGGUAAAUCCGGUUCACUUUAACACUGAGGCGUGACGACGAGGCACUACGGUGCUGAAGCAACAAAUGCCCUGCUUCCAGGAAAAGCCUCUAAGCAUCAGGUAACAUCAAAUCGUACCCCAAACCGACACAGGUGGUCAGGUAGAGAAUACCAAGGCGCUUGAGAGAACUCGGGUGAAGGAACUAGGCAAAAUGGUGCCGUAACUUCGGGAGAAGGCACGCUGACACGUAGGUGAAGUGAUUUACUCAUGGAGCUGAAGUCAGUCGAAGAUACCAGCUGGCUGCAACUGUUUAUUAAAAACACAGCACUGUGCAAACACGAAAGUGGACGUAUACGGUGUGACGCCUGCCCGGUGCCGGAAGGUUAAUUGAUGGGGUCAGCGCAAGCGAAGCUCCUGAUCGAAGCCCCGGUAAACGGCGGCCGUAACUAUAACGGUCCUAAGGUAGCGAAAUUCCUUGUCGGGUAAGUUCCGACCUGCACGAAUGGCGUAAUGAUGGCCAGGCUGUCUCCACCCGAGACUCAGUGAAAUUGAACUCGCUGUGAAGAUGCAGUGUACCCGCGGCAAGACGGAAAGACCCCGUGAACCUUUACUAUAGCUUGACACUGAACAUUGAGCCUUGAUGUGUAGGAUAGGUGGGAGGCUUUGAAGUGUGGACGCCAGUCUGCAUGGAGCCGACCUUGAAAUACCACCCUUUAAUGUUUGAUGUUCUAACGUGGACCCGUGAUCCGGGUUGCGGACAGUGUCUGGUGGGUAGUUUGACUGGGGCGGUCUCCUCCUAAAGAGUAACGGAGGAGCACGAAGGUUGGCUAAUCCUGGUCGGACAUCAGGAGGUUAGUGCAAUGGCAUAAGCCAGCUUGACUGCGAGCGUGACGGCGCGAGCAGGUGCGAAAGCAGGUCAUAGUGAUCCGGUGGUUCUGAAUGGAAGGGCCAUCGCUCAACGGAUAAAAGGUACUCCGGGGAUAACAGGCUGAUACCGCCCAAGAGUUCAUAUCGACGGCGGUGUUUGGCACCUCGAUGUCGGCUCAUCACAUCCUGGGGCUGAAGUAGGUCCCAAGGGUAUGGCUGUUCGCCAUUUAAAGUGGUACGCGAGCUGGGUUUAGAACGUCGUGAGACAGUUCGGUCCCUAUCUGCCGUGGGCGCUGGAGAACUGAGGGGGGCUGCUCCUAGUACGAGAGGACCGGAGUGGACGCAUCACUGGUGUUCGGGUUGUCAUGCCAAUGGCACUGCCCGGUAGCUAAAUGCGGAAGAGAUAAGUGCUGAAAGCAUCUAAGCACGAAACUUGCCCCGAGAUGAGUUCUCCCUGAGACUUAGAGUCUCCUGAAGGAACGUUGAAGACGACGACGUUGAUAGGCCGGGUGUGUAAGCGCAGCGAUGCGUUGAGCUAACCGGUACUAAUGAACCGUGAGGCUUAACCUUACAACGCCGAAG